rnacentral:rRNA from 1 species
UGAGCAAUCUGCCCUUCUCAUCGGAAUAAGCGUUGGAAACGACGUCUAAUGCCGAAUACGACCUCCUUUCGCAUGAUCGGAGGUGGAAAGCUCCGGCGGAGAAGGAUGAGCUCGCGGCCUAUCAGCUAGUUGGUGGGGUAAUGGCCCACCAAGGCAACGACGGGUAGCCGGCCUGAGAGGGUGACCGGCCACACUGGGACUGAGACACAGCCCAGACUCCGUACGGGAGCAG